rnacentral:rRNA from 1 species
UACGUAGGUGGCGAGCGUUGUCCGGAUUUACUGGGCGUAAAGAGCGCGCAGGCGGUCGUGCAAGUCGCGUGUGAAAGCCCCCGGCUCAACUGGGGAGGGUCACGCGAUACUGCUCGACUCGAAGGCAGGAGAGGGAAGUGGAAUUCCCGGUGUAGUGGUGAAAUGCGUAGAUAUCGGGAGGAACACCAGUGGCGAAGGCGGCUUCCUGGCCUGUUCUUGACGCUGAGGCGCGAAAGCUAGGGGAGCAAACGGG